UACGGGGGGGGCAAGCGUUGUUCGGAAUUACUGGGCGUAAAGGGCUCGUAGGUGGCCAACUAAGUCAGACGUGAAAUCCCUCGGCUUAACCGGGGAACUGCGUCUGAUACUGGAUGGCUUGAGUUCGGGAGAGGGAUGCGGAAUUCCAGGUGUAGCGGUGAAAUGCGUAGAUAUCGGGAGGAACACCAGUGGCGAAGGCGGUUGCCUGGGGCUUUGCUGACGCUGAGGCGCGAAAGCGUGGGGAGCGAACCGG
rnacentral:rRNA from 1 species